UACGUAGGGUGCGAGCGUUGUCCGGAAUUAUUGGGCGUAAAGAGCUCGUAGGCGGUGUGUCGCGUCGGUCGUGAAAACUUGGGGCUUAACCCUGAGCUUGCGGUCGAUACGGGCAUCACUGGAGUUCGGCAGGGGAGAACGGAAUUCCUGGUGUAGCGGUGAAAUGCGCAGAUAUCAGGAGGAACACCGGUGGCGAAGGCGGUUCUCUGGGCCUUACCUGACGCUGAGGAGCGAAAGCAUGGGGAGCAAACAGG
rnacentral:rRNA from 1 species